rnacentral:tRNA from 1 species
GCCCGAGUGGUCUAGUGGGUAAGUUUCACAACAGUCGUCCACAAAUGGAUUUGUCAAUUAACGAAACAUAGUAUGAUUCUCGCUUUGGGUGCGAGAGGUCCCGCGUUCAAACCGCGGCUCGGGCC